AUUGAACGCUGGCGGCAUGCUUUACACGUGCAAGUCGAACGGUAACAGGUUAAGCUGACGAGUGGCGAACGGGUGAGUAAUGCAUCGGAACGUGCCCGGUCGUGGGGGAUAACGCAGCGAAAGCUGCGCUAAUACCGCAUACGAUCUGAGGAUGAAAGCGGGGGACCGUAAGGCCUCGCGCGAUCGGAGCGGCCGAUGUCAGAGUAGGUGGUUGGUGGGGUAAAGGCUCACCAAGCCGACGAUCUGUAGCUGGUCUGAGAGGACGACCAGCCACACUGGGACUGAGACACGGCCCAGACUCCUACGGGAGGCAGCAGUGGGGAAUUUUGGACAAUGGGCGCAAGCCUGAUCCAGCAAUGCCGCGUGCAGGAAGAAGGCCUUCGGGUUGUAAACUGCUUUUGUACGGAGCGAAAAGGCUUUCUCUAAUACAGGAGGCUGAUGACGGUACCGUAAGAAUAAGCACCGGCUAACUACGUGCCAGCAGCCGCAGUAACAC
rnacentral:rRNA from 1 species